AGAGUUUGAUCCUGGCUCAGGACGAACGCUGGCGGCGUGCUUAACACAUGCAAGUCGAACGAAGCGAUUUGACGGAAGUUUUCGGAUGGAAGACAAAUUGACUGAGUGGCGGACGGGUGAGUAACGCGUGGGUAACCUGCCUCAUACAGGGGGAUAACAGUUAGAAAUGACUGCUAAUACCGCAUAAGCGCACGGAAGCGCAUGCUUCUGUGUGAAAAACUCCGGUGGUAUGAGAUGGACCUGCGUCUGAUUAGCUGGUUGGUGAGGUAACGGCCCACCAAGGCGACGAUCAGUAGCCGACCUGAGAGGGUGACCGG
rnacentral:rRNA from 1 species